rnacentral:rRNA from 1 species
GAUGAACGCUAGCGGGAGGCUUAACACAUGCAAGUCGAGGGGCAUCACGGGUAGCAAUACCUGGUGGCGACCGGCAGACGGGUGAGUAACGCGUAUGUAACCUACCCUGUACAGGGGGAUAACCCGGAGAAAUUCGGACUAAUAUCCCAUAAUGAUAUCUGGGGGCAUCUUCGGAUAUUUAAAGUUCCGGCGGUACAGGAUGGGCAUGCGUAACAUUAGCUAGUUGGUAAGGUAACGGCUUACCAAGGCUUUGAUGUUUUAGGGGUCCUGAGAGGGUGGUCCCCCACACUGGUACUGAGACACGGACCAGACUCCUACGGGAGGCAGCAGUGAGGAAUAUUGGUCAAUGGGCGCAAGCCUGAACCAGCCAUCCCGCGUGCAGGAAGACGGCCCUAUGGGGUUGUAAACUGCUUUUCCAGGGAGAGAAACUUGCGUACGCGUUGCGCAAUUGACGGUACCCUGGGAAUAAGCAUCGGCUAACUCCGUG